GUAUUGCCAUAGAAAAUAGGACAGCAGCAUUACUUUCUUUCUCUAUAGAUUCUCUCCGACAAUUGUUCAAAUCCCACGGAUCCACAAGUGCUUCUCGUGGAUCUGCUCCUCCUCCGAGAAGGAGAAGCAACCCAUGCUCUUCGAGGAGCCUCCCGACGAUGGUGAUCGCUCGAUGAUGGAGAUCAGUGAGGACCCACUGCUCCAACGGCUC
rnacentral:lncRNA from 1 species